rnacentral:rRNA from 1 species
AUUGAACGCUGGCGGCAUGCCUUACACAUGCAAGUCGAACGGUAACAGGUCUUCGGAUGCUGACGAGUGGCGAACGGGUGAGUAAUACAUCGGAACGUGCCUAGUAGUGGGGGAUAACUACUCGAAAGAGUGGCUAAUACCGCAUGAGAUCUACGGAUGAAAGCAGGGGAUCGCAAGACCUUGUGCUACUAGAGCGGCCGAUGGCAGAUUAGGUAGUUGGUGGGAUAAAAGCUUACCAAGCCGACGAUCUGUAGCUGGUCUGAGAGGACGAUCAGCCACGCUGGGACUGAGACACGGCCCAGACUCCUACGGGAGGCAGCAGUGGGGAAUUUUGGACAAUGGGCGAAAGCCUGAUCCGGCAAUGCCGCGUGCAGGAUGAAGGCCUCCGGGUUGUAAACUGCUUUUGUACGGAACGAAAAGCCCCGGGUUAAUACCCUGGGGUCAUGACGGUACCGUAAGAAUAGGCACCGGCUAACUACGUGCCAGCCGCCGCCGUAA